rnacentral:rRNA from 1 species
CCUACGGGAGACAGCAGUCGAGAAUCAUUCACAAUGGGGGAAACCCUGAUGGUGCGACGCCGCGUGGGGGAAUGAAGGUCUUCGGAUUGUAAACCCCUGUCAUGUGGGAGCAAAUUAAAAAGAUAGUACCACAAGAGGAAGAGACGGCUAACUCUGUGCCAGCAGCCGCGGUAAUACAGAGGUCUCAAGCGUUGUUCGGAAUCACUGGGCGUAAGGCGUGCGUAGGCUGUUUCGUAAGUCGUGUGUGAAAGGCGCGGGCUCAACCCGCGGACGGCACAUGAUACUGCGAGACUAGAGUAAUGGAGGGGGAACCGGAAUUCUCGGUGUAGCAGUGAAAUGCGUAGAUAUCGAGAGGAACACUCGUGGCGAAGGCGGGUUCCUGGACAUUAACUGACGCUGAGGCACGAAGGCCAGGGGAGCGAAAGGGAUUAGAUACCCGGGUAGUC